rnacentral:rRNA from 1 species
UACAGAGGGUGCGAGCGUUGUUCGGAAUUACUGGGCGUAAAGCGCGCGCAGGCGGCUUUCUAAGUCUCGUGGUCAAAUGCCGGGGCUCAACCCCGAGCGUGCCAGGGAUACUGGGAGGCUGGAGACAGGUAGAGGCAAGCGGAAUUCCGGGUGUAGCGGUGGAAUGCGUAGAGAUCCGGAAGAACACCGGAGGCGAAGGCGGCUUGCUGGACCGUGGUCUGACGCUGAGGCGCGAAAGCGUGGGGAGCGAACAGG